UGAUAGCUAAGAAGCGGAGGUUGCCGAGAAUACUGCAAUGCAGGUUUUGGGUUUUUCGUGGAGCGAAUGUCAAGAGACCGAAAGGUCUGUAAACCUGGCGACA
rnacentral:ncRNA from 1 species